AUUGAACGCUGGCGGCAUGCUUUAUACAUGCAAGUCGUGCGGCAGCGCGGGGGCAACUCUGGCGGCGAGCGGCGAACGGGUGAGUAAUACGAUAGGAACGUAUCCUGAAAUGGGGGAUAGCUCGGCGAAAGCCGGAUUAAUACCGCAUACGCUCCACGGAGGAAAGCAGGGAUCGCAAGACCUUGCGUUUCUGGAGCGGCCUAUGUCUGAUUAGCUAGNGG
rnacentral:rRNA from 1 species